GCAUGAGUAGCUCAACGGGAGAGCACUGGCCGGACAGGUCAGGGGAACGAGUUCGACUCUCGUCUCAACGCACCA
rnacentral:tRNA from 1 species